rfam:Oryza meridionalis cultivar OR44 (W2112) chromosome 1, whole genome shotgun sequence.
AAUAAGUGCAGUUUUACACUAUUCAUGUUCGACGUUUAACCGUUCAUCUUAUUUAAUUUUUUUAUGAUUAGUAUUUUUAUUGCUAUUAGAUGAUAAAACAAGGAUAUUUUCAAAAUUUUCACAAAUUUUUCAAAUAAGACGGACUGUCAAACGUUGGGCACAAAUAUCCACGACUGUAUUUAUU